rnacentral:rRNA from 1 species
CAGUCGCCGCGGUAAUACGAAGGGGGCUAGCGUUGUUCGGAAUUAUUGGGCGUAAAGGGUGCGUAGGCGGCUUGACAAGUCUUGUGUGAAAUCUAUGGCCUCAACCCAUAGUCUGCACGGGAAACUGUCGGGCUUGAGAAUGGGAGAGGUGAGUGGAAUUUCCGGUGUAGCGGUGAAAUGCGUAGAUAUCGGAAGGAACACCUGUGGCGAAAGCGGCUCACUGGACCAUUUCUGACGCUGAUGCACGAAAGCUAGGGAAGCAAACAGGAUUAGAUACCCGCGUAGUCCCUGUCUCUUAUAC